CCUACGGGAGGCAGCAGUGAGGAAUAUUGGGCAAUGGGAGAGAUCCUGAACCAGCCAAGCCGCGUGAGGGAAGACGGCCCUAUGGGUUGUAAACUUCUUUUGUCGGAGAACAAAACCCGGGACGAGUCCCGGACUGCGUGUAUCCGAAGAAAAAGCAUAGGCUAACCCCGUGCCAGCAGCCGCGGUAAUACGGAGGAUGCGAGCGUUAUCCGGUUUUGUUGGGUUUAACGGAAGCGUAGGCGGUCUGUUAAGUUAGCGGUAAAAUUGCGGGGCUAAACCCCGUCGAGCCGUUGAAACUGGCAGACUUGAGUUGGCGAGAAGUACGCGGAAUGCGCGGUGUAGCGGUGAAAUGCAUAGAUAUCGCGCAGAACUCCGAUUGCGAAGGCAGCGUACCGGCGCCAGACUGACGCUGAGGCACGAAAGCGUGGGGAUCGAACAGGAUUAGAUACCCGAGUAGUC
rnacentral:rRNA from 1 species